rnacentral:tRNA from 1 species
AGCAUUAAGAUGUAUCUCGCUUACACCGAGAAGAUGAUUUUAUAAAAUCUACCUUGA